GGGCUGUUGGUGAGGAAAGAUGUGCACCGUCCAAAAGUGAAAACCAGAACAAAAUAAAGUGAAAGUAUCAGGUUGUGUCGACGAGUUUCCCUCCAAAAUUGGGUGGGCCGCAUCCAAUCAGUUGAAGGCCUUAAGAGAAAAGAGCGAAGUCCUUGGAGGAAGAGGGAAUUCUGCCUCUGGACGGCGACGUCGAAGUUCUGCUGGGGCUUCCAGCCUGCCCCGUAGACUCUGGACUGAAGAUCGCAGCAUCAGCUGUCACCUGAAUGUCCCCACUGCUGGCCUGGCUGUGGGGUGUAGACUUGCCAGCCCCACAAAGGAAGGACCCUUACUAAAGCAGCAGCGUGAAGGACCCAUGGGGAUCCUCUUUACCAGACCUUUCUUUAAAGACGAGGAAAGGCACGUGAGGAAGGAGUUGGGUAUUUUCACAGCAUUUGCUCUUUCCCUCCGUGUGUAGGAUCUAAUAUAUCCUCACAGCGGCCUCGGACCCGGGAGUUGGCAUCAUUUUCUCUGAGCCAACAUGCUUGAAAGAGAGUCUCACCCCGCAGCAAGCGCAUCUCCCUGAGACGGGGUCUGCGUGUGGCGGGUCUUCUCUGCAGUUGACAUGUGUGGUUUCCCUGGAUUCUCCCUCCCGCCUCCUCCAGGCAGGAAGCCCGGUCUUUAACAGCCUCUGCCAGGAGGCAGAAGCCUCUUGAUUAGCGGGUCUUUUGUAGAAGCCUUAGUCCCUGGCAGCCGGAGCCCGGAGCACGGGGUCUUCAGGAGCACAGGGCACAGCGGGCUCUUGCCUCCGGCCGGCACGAAGGGGGCGAGGUGCGCUGGUCCUGUGAGCACCCUGCCUUCUGCUCCACGCUUGGCGAUCCUUGCGGGGAGCCUGGACACUGGCACAUAAUUUCCACACCUCGCCAAGGGAGACGGCUGCAAGGACGGGGAGAAGGCAGAGGCUGGGGGCAGCAGGAACAACGCAGAGAGAGACUGUGGGCAACCCGCCCCACUGCCAGGCAGGACGGGGUCGGCAGGAGGAGCCUGAUUCUCGUCCCUGCCGAAGCCUCCAGGACUUCUCAGCACCCUGGUGAUAAGUGAGCUUGCACGUCGGGGCAGGCUAGUGGGGCUGCGCUCAGAGUGGGACUGGUGUCAACUUAAAGAAUAUGCAUCCUUCAUGUGUGUAGACACACACACACUUGUAUAAUAUACACACGUAUAUGUGUUAUACAAUAAUAUUUCUGGCCUCCUUGUCUGAGUUAACAGGUUUGUGUCAACGACACUGACAAGGGUGGUGGGAACAGAGGAGCAGAAGUUUCUAGAAGUGUGAUGAGUGAUAAUUUUAACACAAUUUUUUUUAUUUAUCUGUAGUUUAAACUCUUUAAAUUUCCUAAGAUCUGAAAUAACCAGUUAUAAAACUGGGCAAACUAAAAUAAGUGAUAAAAUGUUCUGUUGCUAUUAUAAAAUGUAAUCCCAGUGAGAUCACUUAAUAUAUGUUUUUUCAGACA